rnacentral:misc_RNA from 1 species
UCCUAGUUAACCUAGGCAGUCUCACUAGAGUUCCCAUCUUUCAUGUUGGCAACUAAUGAUAAGGGUUGCGCUCGUUGCGGGACUUAACCCAACACCUCACGGCACGAGCUGACGACAGCCAUGCAGCACCUAUAUAAAGGCCCUUGCGGGCGAAUGCAUCUCUGCAUUCUUCCUCUACACUUCUAACCUGGGUAAGGUUCUUCGCGUUGCAUCGAAUUAAACCACAUGCUCCACUGCUUGUGCGGGCCCCCGUCAAUUCUUUUGAGUUUCACCCUUGCGAGCGUACUCCCCAGGCGGUAUACUUAUCGCGUUCGCUACGGCACAGUCAGGGUUGAGCCCAACUACACCAAGUAUACAUCGUUUACGGCAAGGACUAC